AAAGCACUUUCAGUCAGGAGGAAAGCGUGGUGGUUAAUACCCAUCAUGUGUGACGUUACUGACAGAAGAAGCACCGGCUAACUCCGUGCCAGCAGCCGCGGUAAUACGGAGGGUGCGAGCGUUAAUCGGAAUUACUGGGCGUAAAGCGUACGCAGGCGGUUUGUUAAGCGAGAUGUGAAAGCCCCGGGCUCAACCUGGGAACUGCAUUUCGAACUGGCAAACUAGAGUGUGAUAGAGGGUGGUAGAAUUUCAGGUGUAGCGGUGAAAUGCGUAGAGAUCUGAAGGAAUACCGAUGGCGAAGGCAGCCACCUGGGUCAACACUGACGCUCAUGUACGAAAGCGUGGGGAGCAAACAGGAUUAGAUACCCCGGUAGUCCACGCCGUAAACGAUGUCUACUAGAAGCUCGGAGCCUCGGUUCUGUUUUUCAAAGCUAACGCAUUAAGUAGACCGCCUGGGGAGUACGGCCGCAAGGUUAAAACUCAAAUGAAUUGACGGGGGCCCGCACAAGCGGUGGAGCAUGUGGUUUAAUUCGAUGCAACGCGAAGAACCUUACCUACACUUGACAUACAGAGAACUUACCAGAGAUGGUUUGGUGCCUUCGGGAACUCUGAUACAGGUGCUGCAUGGCUGUCGUCAGCUCGUGUUGUGAGA
rnacentral:rRNA from 1 species